GACGGUGUAGUUCAAGUGGUAGAGCACAUGCUUAGCAUGCAUGAGGUCCUGGGUUCAAUCCCCAGUACUUCCU
rnacentral:tRNA from 1 species